CGAACGGGUGAGUAACACGUAGGGAACCUGCCCGCGCACCGGGAAUACGCUCUGGAAACGGAGAACAAAUCCCGAUGUACAGGAAGGAGGCAUCUUCUUUCUGUGAAACAUCCUUUAGGGGAUGGGGCGCGGAUGGACCUGCGGUGCAUUAGUUUGUUGGCGGGGUAAAGGCCCACCAAGACGAUGAUGCAUAGCCGGCCUGAGAGGGCGGACGGCCACAUUGGGACUGAGACACGGCCCAGACUCCUACGGAAGGCAGCAG
rnacentral:rRNA from 1 species